rnacentral:tRNA from 1 species
GCGCCCGUAGCUCAGUGGAUAGAGUAUUGGCCUCCGAAGCCAAGGGUCGCUGGUUCGAUUCCAGCCGAGCGCACCA